CCUACGGGUGGCAGCAGUGAGGAAUAUUGGUCAAUGGGCGGAAGCCUGAACCAGCGAAGCCGCGUGAGGGAAGAAGGUACUGCGUAUCGUAAACUUCUUUUGUAGGGGAAUAAAGGCAGGGACGAGUCCCUGGAUGAGGGUACCGUACGAAAAAGCAUCGGGUAACUCCGUGCCAGCAGCCGCGGUAAUACGGAGGGUGCGAGCGUUAUCCGGAUUUAGUGGGUGUAAAGGGUGCGCAGGCGGGCUGUUAAGUCAGCGGGGAAAUGCCCGGGCUCAACACCGGCGGUGCCGUUGAAACUGGCGGGCUGGAGUGUGUGAGAGGUACGCGGAAUGCGCGGUGUAGCGGUGAAAUGCUUAGAUAUC
rnacentral:rRNA from 1 species